CAGAAGCUCGUAUUUAAUAGUUGUAUUAACAUAUUCAAUUUAUGUAUUAAAUAAUAAAUACCUAUAAUGACUAGAAUGAUGCAUACUAGAACGGAUAACAGAAAACCCUUGAUAAAAUUAGCAUGCUCCUUAAUGAGUUCAAUUAGUUUUUCCAUUUGUAUAUAUAUCUUGUUUUGUUGUUUCCGCUUCUUCAGUGAAUCAAGACUUUUUGUAAAUAGCCAGUUGGGUUUACCAACCAAG
rnacentral:misc_RNA from 1 species